rnacentral:misc_RNA from 1 species
GUUGAAGAACGUAGCGAAAUGCGAUAAGUAAUGUGAAUUGCAGAAUUCAGUGAAUCAUCGAAUCUUUGAACGCACAUUGCGCCCGCCAGUAUUCUGGCGGGCAUGCCUGUUCGAGCGUCAUUUCAACCCUCAUGCCCAGCUUGGUGUUGGGGAUCGGCACAGGCGCCCUCGGGCGCCCGCCGUCCCCUAAAUCUAGUGGCGGUCCCGCUGCAGCCUCCUCUGCGUAGUAGUUUUCUCCUCGCAAGGGCAGCUCGGUGGCGACCUCGCCGUAAAACCCCCAACUUCUGAAAGGUUGACCUCGAAUCAGGUAGGAAUACCCGCUGAACUUAAGCAUAUCAAUAAGCGGAGGA